CUAAAAUUGAAAUAACAAAACAAAACCGUAUUUGCUUAAUCAAAUUUAAAAAAAAUAUAUAAAUAAUAACUUUUUCUAACUUUUUUUUUCGGACGUGAGUAAGGUCGGGCAGAUCCGACCCGUCCGAAAGGCACCCUGACCCAAAUCCUACAUUCAAAAGAGAAAGACCCACUCCUUCCCUCUCUCCACUUCAGCGACACCAAAUCCUAAACACCACCAUCAACAAGUCAUUAUCGCCGGCAUUGAUUAUGGAUACGCAGCAAAAAACACCAGAAUUGGAUGGUAAAUUUAGCUGCUCUAGAUGCUCUCCGUCCAACCGUUCUCUGGUGCGGAUCCUUUCUCCACAAAUUCUUCCUGCUGUUCGAUGCUAAACCCAAAGAAGAUGACUACUUGCAGGUCAGCGGCGGAUGGAUGAGAUAAUAGGGACACGGGACACCGAUUCCGCGUGACACUCUUGAUGAGCGGAGAUGCUGCCCCACGGAUGAGACUGAGGGAGGAAACCAACAACUUACCAAUUUGAAGAGUUAGGGCAAAACGACUCAAGGAAAAGGAGAUGGGCUUGCUGUGCAAAUGAUAGAAUCUGGUAUAGGCAGAGGCACACAAAGCAAAAGGGCAGCUCUAAACUCUAAGCGGAUAGACUGAUGCUGGAGAAGAUCGAUAGAUAAAGAUAACUGAUAUGCAUUUCAGUUCCUUGAUUGCGAUUGGCAAUUAUGUGAGCCAAUUGGUUUCUGAUGUCUUGCAGGAAGGGGUCUAUUUACCAGAUGGCUCUUCUAGACUUGAGGGCUUCCACCAAAGGCUGGAGUUUGCGUGAAAGGUUGCUUAUCCUCCCAUUACCGUCUCCAGUUGCAGCCCCCUUUUUUUGGAAGUAAUCGAGAAGGCCGCGCUCACAU